rnacentral:lncRNA from 1 species
UUUGAUCCUGAACUGAUCAUCCAGAAACAACUUCAGGGCAGAAAGCUCAUCAUUGUCAUCCCAGUAAUAAUAAUGUCAUCCACAUAGACUGCUACAAUAACAAAACAACCAGGCUGGCCUUCUAUAACAGAGAAUAAUCAUUCAGAGAAUGAGUAUAGCCUCUGGAAUAGAGGGCAGAAGACAACUUAGCAUACCAUUGUCUGGAUGCCUGCCUCAACCCAUAGAGAGAUUUU